rnacentral:rRNA from 1 species
UACGGAAGGUCCGGGCGUUAUCCGGAUUUAUUGGGUUUAAAGGGUGCGUAGGCGGACUGUUAAGUCAGCGGUAAAAGCCCGGGGCUCAACCCCGGCGAGCCGUUGAAACUGGCUGUCUUGAGAUGUCGAGAGGUAUGCGGAAUGCGCAGUGUAGCGGUGAAAUGCUUAGAUAUUGCGCAGAACUCCGAUUGCGAAGGCAGCUUACCAAUCUAUAUCUGACGUUGAGGCACGAAAGCGUGGGGAGCAAACAGG